GAUGAAGAACGCAGCGAAAUGCGAUAAGUAAUGUGAAUUGCAGAAUUCAGUGAAUCAUCGAAUCUUUGAACGCACAUUGCGCCCGCCAGCAUUCUGGCGGGCAUGCCUGUUCGAGCGUCAUUUCAACCCUCGAGCCCCCCCGGGGGCCUCGGUGUUGGGGGACGGCACACCAGCCGCCCCCGAAAUGCAGUGGCGACCCCGCCGCUGCCUCCCCUGCGUAGUAGCACACACCUCGCACCGGAGCGCGGAGGCGGUCACGCCGUAAAACGCCCAACUUUCUUAGAGUUGACCUCGGAUCAGGUAGGAAUACCCGCUGAACUUAAGCAUAUCAAUAAGCGGAGGA
rnacentral:misc_RNA from 1 species